UCUCUUGAUUGCUAACAACGCUGGUCGACUAAACUAGGAAUCACCGGCUCCUGCAUUUAGCCUUGUCCUGCUUUUUCUUGAAAACCUGCAACUUUGGAAGAACCAACGAACUCGAGCCUUCGGGUCUUUCCGGAGACGCUUCGGCUGGGGCAGAGUGGGUGGGGGGGGAGAAAGAGGGCGUGGGGGCGUUCUGCCCGGGAAAGGGCGGGCCUGGAGCUGAGGAGGCGGGGCCAGAACCUUCCCGGAGCGGCUGCCUGUCUGUCUGGCUGCCUGGGGCUUUGGGGACAGCCAAUCGCAAUCCAGGUUUGGCCUUUCCAGCCAGCCAGGCUCGCGCGCGCCCCCGUGCAAUGAGGUUGCAGCCGCCGCAGCCACAGGUUGACACGGGGAGGCGGGCGGGGGAGAGAGGAGAGCCCGGGAGGAGAAGGUCUGCGGAGCAGCCUCGCUUCAGCCGCGGCGGGAGGGGGAGGANNNNNNNNNNNNNNNNNNAUGGCCGCCUCUUGCCAAUCUGCAGAGCUGGCGCGAAGAUGAGUUGAUUUGUACAGAAUUUGCAUGAUGGCUUCCACAAAUACAAAAACUAACAAAAACAGGUAAGAUCUUAAUCUGGGGUGAGGAUACUAUUGCCCCUCCCAGUCUGUAUGUCGUUUGACUGAUAUUCAGCAAAGUCCAAUUGGCAUAACUUUGUGAUGCAAAUUGGAUACCAAAAGUAUUUAAUUUAAAAUAAUUAAAAGCUUCCUCUCUCCCUCCUGUUAGGUUUCAAGGCUCCCUGGGGCUUCCUUUUACCAGGGAGAACCCUUUAGGGACCUCGGAAUGGCAGAGAGAGAGUCAUUAAUAGAAAGAAAAAACAAAACCACUGCUGGAUUGUUGACAGCAGUCCUAAUUCUGAUGGUGGUGAUCCAUCUUAUAUAAUUAAAGGCUCCCUCUCUGUCCCAAGGCUCCCAAAGACUUUACCCAGGGCAAUAGGGACCACUACCAACCUAAGAGAGAUAAGCUUUUAAUUACUUUACAUUAAAUGUUCUAGUGUCCUAUCUGGGUUAUUCUAGCACAAAGUUACACAAAAAGAUUUUGCUCUUUAAAAGAAACUCUUCUCUCUUCUCCUGUUCCGACUGGUACCCUUUCAUCCAUUAAUUUUUUU
rnacentral:lncRNA from 1 species